UCGAGAGGAAUCUAUUGGUACCAGUAUUUCUGAGUGGGGUUCACUGUAGAGAGAGAUCUUCUCCCCCAAAGAAUUCGAAUUUCAUGGAAAAUAUGGGUUUUGAUGGAGCUUGAAGCCAUGGGAGCUUGAAGCAAGCUUCUCCCUUCAUUCUAGGUGUACCUAGGGACUGUGAACGUUUGGAUUCUCGUGGAGUAUGAUAAGUAGCUUGUUCUUCAAGUAAGCAGAUUGUAAAGCUCAAAGAGUACCCGGAUGUUCGCUUUGGGGUCCUCCCUCGGGACUGAUGGUGUACGCCUCUGAUAUGUUCUGGUUCCGCUUUGGGGUCCUCCCUCGGGAACACGUGCGUUGAUUUCCGCUUGGGGUCCUCCCUUGGGAAUGACUGCG